CCUACGGGAGGCAGCAGCGAGGAAUAUUGGUCAAUGGGCGCGAGCCUGAACCAGCCACGUAGCGUGAAGGAUGACUGCCCUACGGGUUGUAAACUUCUUUUAUAAAGGAAUAAAGUGAGGCACGUGUGCCUGUUUGUAUGUACUUUAUGAAUAAGGCACGGCGAACUCCGGGCCAGCGGCCGCGGUCAUACGGAGGAUCCGAGCGUUAUCCGGAUUUAUUGGGUGUAAAGGGAGCGUAGAUGGGUGGUUAAGUCAGUUGUGAAAGUUUGCGGCUCAACCGUCAAAUUGCAAUUGAUACUGGCAUCCUUGAGUACAGUUGAGGUAGGCGGAAUUCGUGGUGUAGCGGUGAAAUGCUUAGAUAUCACGAAGAACUCCGAUGGCGAAGGCAGCCUACUAAACUGCCACUGACAUUGAGGCUCGAAAGUGUGGGUAUCAAACAGGAUUAGAUACCCGGGUAGUC
rnacentral:rRNA from 1 species